rnacentral:rRNA from 1 species
UACGUAGGGUGCAAGCGUUAAUCGGAAUUACUGGGCGUAAAGCGUGCGCAGGCGGUUAUGCAAGCCAGAUGUGAAAUCCCCGGGCUCAACCUGGGAACUGCAUUUGUGACUGCAUAGCUAGAGUACGGUAGAGGGGGAUGGAAUUCCGCGUGUAGCAGUGAAAUGCGUAGAUAUGCGGAGGAACACCGAUGGCGAAGGCAAUCCCCUGGACCUGUACUGACGCUCAUGCACGAAAGCGUGGGGAGCAAACAGG